UUUAUUUUCCUUUGUGGGAUUUUGCAUAUCUACCUUCUUGGGGGCAUAAAUGAAUAUAGUGCAUCUCAAAUCUUUCUCUCUUUUCAAUUUAAUUAUUUUAUUCCCCCUCAUCUCUCUUAUCUCUCUGCACCGUCUUCUAUAUAAACCCAGGGCGAGUGAGACCUCUAGUAUUCAUAAGCAGCCAAACUAAUAUGUAUAGAUCUUCCUCUUGCAUCUCUUUUGUUACUUUCGAGUAGAAAAAAUAUCAAAUAUAUAUGGUUUCACAUAUACAUUUUUUGGUAUGUGGUUUUCAUAUAUACAAGUGGGUUAUAGUGAAACGCGUAUGUGACGGAAGUAGUGUGCAGCCAAGGAUGACUUGCCGAUUUAAAUGAUCUUUCUUUAUACUCUAUUAAGACAUUUUUAGUAUCAAAAUUCUUUGGUUCUUGAAAAAGUCAGGAAGAAAUUAUAAUUGAUAUAUAGUGUUCCUUAUUAUAUACAAUUAUAACCAAAAAGAAAAAAGUAACAUGAUCGGCAAGUUGUCCUUGGCUACACGUUACUUUGUGUCGCGCUUAGGUGUUAUGUGUGGUAAAGAUCACAAGAACUCAAACAAAGGAAGAAUGCAGAAACGAGGAAGCCUUAUAUCCGGCAGCUUCGAACUCUCUCGGGUGGAAAGAGACGGUCGCAUCGCAGGUGGAAGGCAACUAGCUAGGCUAAGGCGCUUCUCGUUAGUUAAUAAUAAGUUAUCACACCAAAGUAGAUAUUAUAACUAGGGUUACUGAAUAUAUACUUUUCUUGGAAAGUUUAUUUGUAAAAACUAUCAUACGGUAGUCCAAAAUUGUAAAUAAGUAAUAAAUUUUCACGUCUGAUAUAAAUAGAGAUUGUGAUA